AUGUGCAACGGUGCACCUGUGGCUGUGGCCAUGCCUUGGUCUGCUCUCGUGCCGAUGGCCAUGCUAGCUGCCUGGUUGAUCCAUUUGGUAUUGACGAGGAGAUGGAACAGCAGUAGCCCAAGGCUGCCGCCAGGGUCGAGGGGCUUCCCCGUCAUUGGCGAGUCGCUCGAGUUCUUCCGCCAGAGCCCAUCGCUCGAGCUGUUUCCCUUCUUCAAGCGACGUCUUGAGCGGUAUGGUCCAAUUUUCAGGACAGAUUUGUUCAAUCAAGACCUCAUCGUGUCCAUGGAUCAAGAGCUAAACAACUUGGUAUUCCAGCAAGAGGAGAAGCUAUUCCAAAUCUGGUAUCCGGAGUCGUUCAUGAGGAUCCUCGGAGCUGACUGCAUCAUCGCAACACUCGGAUCCUUCCACAAGCACAUGAGGAGUCUGGUCCUUAAGCUCUUGGGCCCUGAAAAUCUCAGGCUAGUCCUGCUCCAUGAUGUUCAGCGAGCGACCCAAGCCAGCCUGCUCUCGUGGCUCGAUCAGCCCAGCAUCGAACUUAAAGAGGCAACCUCAAGUAUGAUAUUCAGUGUCACAUCAAAGAGGUUAAUCAGCUAUGACUCUUCAAGCUCAGAUGGGAAGUUGUGGAAGCAAUUCGACGCAUUUACUCGGGGACUAAUAGCAUUUCCAAUCUACGUUCCUGGCACAGCAUUCUACAAGUGCAUGCAGGGAAGGAAGAAUGUCAUGAAGAUUUUGACGAAAAUGCUAGACGAGAGGAAGAGGGCCUCACGACAAGAUAGCGUUGACUUUCUCGAUCUCCUACUCGAUGAUUUGAAAAAGGAGAAGCUUCUAAGGAACGAGAAAAUUGCUUUGGAUCUGCUUUUCUUGCUACUCUUCGUGGGCUUUGAGACCACGUCAUCUGGGAUAACUGCCGCACUCAAAUUCCUAACGGACGAUCCCAAGGCCCUGCAGGAACUUAUAGAGGAGCACCAGAGCAUUCGAAAAAGAAGGGUUGAUCCUGACUCUGAAAUCACAUGGGAGGAAUACAAGUCCAUGAAAUUUACAUCUCAUGUUAUACAUGAAGCAUUAAGGCUGAGUAACAUCGCUCCGGUAAUGUUUAGAAAAGCCACAGAGGAUGUUCAUAUAAAAGGUUACACUAUCCCAAAAGGAUCAAAGAUCAUGACUGAUCCUUCUAGUGUUCAUCUGGAUUCUACAGUUUACAAGGAUCCCAUUGUGUUCAAUCCAUGGAGGUGGAAGGGUACUACUGUUGAACCAGUUGGUGGUACCUCCAAGGAAUUCAUGGCCUUUGGAGGCGGGGUGCGGUUAUGUGUUGGUGCUGACUUUGCUAAGUUGCAAAUGGCUAUCUUCCUUCAUUGCUUAGUUACUAAAUACAGAUGGAAAGCGAUCAAGGGAGGAACCAUGUCGCUUUCUCCGGGACUGCAAUUUCCCGGUGGUUUUCACAUCCAACUUCUCCCAAGAGCUUAA
rnacentral:rRNA from 1 species